AGGCAAGAACCAGAGCAUGUAGGGAUGUUGGGCAGAGGAUAGAAACCAAGGGAAGGACCAGCCUUCCAGAGCCUGGGGCUUAUGCUGUGGGGAGCAGAGCGUACACUGGGGACUGGCUCCCACUGGAAGGUUACAUGUGGCUUCAGAUGUGGGCUUUCACAGGUAGGCUACAGGGUCCUGGAGACCCCAGGUCAGGGCCUUACUUGAGGGCUAAAAGGGCCAUAGGAAGGCUCACCCGGGAGGUUAAACAGAGAAGGCGUCUAGGAAUACAUUCGUGCCUCUGGGGCCCUGUGAGACCUGCUGGUGGAAGGCACGGCUGAGGACAACAAGCCAAGGGAAUCUUCUUGAUCCCGGGAUCGAACUUGAUCCCAGGAAUCUUCUUGAUCCCGGGAAUCUCCUGCAAUUCUCCUGCAUUACAGGCAGAUUCUUUACUGCUGAGUCACUGGGAGGGGUGUCAGUCUGCAACUAGAGGGCCUCAACAUGGUUAUUCAAGAUGUCUUGUGGUAUAGUUGCUCCACCAUCUUCCCAUACUGGAAAAGCGGAGACACCAAGAUGCACAGCUGACUCCAGAAUUUUGCUCCUGCUUCUAGGAUAGGCAAGAUGGCCAGUUAUCACCCUCCUUGUGCUCAGAAUUCUGCCAGGUGGCAGAAGCCACCUGUUCUAGGAGAGCCUUCUCUUGGGACAAGUAUGUACAUUAUAAAUGAAAAGCUUAUUUUUAGCACCCUGAAUCCAUCAGAGACCACCAAAGUGGCCUUCAUUACCCAUUCUAGCUCAGCAUGACUGGAGGGCAGAGAUGGUAGGAAAACCUCUUGAGAAACUGACACAUCUUCCUCCAAAAUUGGAUCUUUGCCUGCUUCAACUCUCAUCUCUGUUUGCCAAAUAAAUAUUUAGGUACCUAAAACCUGGCAGAGUUUUAGCUCUGAGGACCCAGCAAUAAUCAAGAGACCCCAUGCCAGCCCUAUGGUUCUCAUAAUCGGUGAGGAGGAUAUCACAAAAUAACCACAGAUUUUGAAAUGAUCGAAAGUGCAGUGACCCUCAUAAUCUCUCCUGACACCUCGGCUCCAGCCUCAGUCUCAGUUUCUGUGCCCAUUUGAAGAAGUUUUGUUUCAAGUCCUUCGUGUCUGAGUCCCUCUGUGUCACCUGUAUCGUGACCAAAAAGUUGGUCGACGUAGAGGACACCAACACCUCUGGGACUGUCUCCAUGACAACACAUCAGCAUAUCCUGCCCUCAGAGCCCUGGAGACCCUACCCUACAUUCGUGUACCACUUAUAAUAAUCAUUCUUGAUAUUCUGUAACUGAUUAUUCAGCAUCUUGAAAUCAUGAGAAAAUUAAAGACCAAUGUUGUUUACAUUUCCCCUGUGGUCUGACUUUUGUGGGUGCUUAAAAGUCAUAUUAUGAAC
ensembl:lncRNA